rnacentral:rRNA from 1 species
GACGAACGCUGGCGGCGUGCUUAACACAUGCAAGUCGAGCGGUAAGGCCCCUUCGGGGGUACACGAGCGGCGAACGGGUGAGUAACACGUGAGCAAUCUGCCCAUCACAUCGGGAUAACUCCGGGAAACCGGAGCUAAUACCGAAUACGACCACCUCCGGCAUCGGAUGGUGGUGGAAAGUUCCGGCGGUGAUGGAUGAGCUCGCGGCCUAUCAGCUUGUUGGUGGGGUAAUGGCCUACCAAGGCUUCGACGGGUAGCCGGCCUGAGAGGGUGACCGGCCACACUGGGACGGAGACACGGCCCAGACUCCUACGGGAGGCAGCAGUGGGGAAUAUUGGACAAUGGGCGAAAGCCUGAUCCAGCAACGCCGCGUGAGGGAUGACGGCCUUCGGGUUGUAAACCUCUUUCAGCAGGGACGAAGCGCAAGUGACGGUACCUGCAGAAGAAGCACCGGCCAACUACGUGCCAGCCGCCGCUGUAAAAC